GACGUAGGGGGCCAGCGUUGUUCGGAAUUACUGGGUGUAAAGGGUGCGUAGGCGGUUGGCAAGUCUGAUGUGAAAUCUAUGGGCUCAACCCAUAGUCUGCAUCAGAAACUGCCGGGCUUGAGUAUGGGAGAGGUGAGUGGAAUUUCCGGUGUAGCGGUGAAAUGCGUAGAUAUCGGAAGGAACACCUGUGGCGAAAGCGGCUCACUGGACCAUUACUGACGCUGAUGUACGAAAGCUAGGGGAG
rnacentral:rRNA from 1 species